AGAAUGAUUUUGUUCAGAAAAUGUAAAGAACAUAUUUUGUUUUAUCCAUAGAUCUGUCCCAACCUGUUCAAGGAAGCCGACUAGGUCACCUGUAAUGAGAAAGUCAGACUUUCUCCAACUGGUCUGUGUUUUUUAAACAGAAACUUCAUUUACUGAACCUGAAGGAAAAUUUAACCAAAUUUACAUUUUCUAUGCCGAAAUCUCUCCCAAAAUAAUACUUUUGCUACACAAAUAACUUAGUGCUGAAUUAUGUUUAAAAAAUAAUUUGUUUGGUUUUAAUAAAUUUAUGAAGUAAUAAAAAAUAGAUUUUUUUUAAUCUAUGCAUGUUAAUUUUCUGACACAUCUAACAGCUAAAAACAGUUUAAAGGUUUCAUUAGAGAUUAGCAGUGCCAUCUGGUGGCCACAUUCGACACUGCAGCUUUAACAAACUGGAUCCAGGUCUGGAAAACUUUCCCAAAAUACUGAAGUUUCUCCUUGAUACAUGAAAUCUUUUUGUUUUAAUCUGCAAUACUUAAAAAUUACAGCAAUAAGAGAUAAAUUGAAGCAAUGUUUAAAUAGGUAAUGAGUAGUUCUUUAGAUAAAUGUGCUAUUUUUGGAUCCCUCAUGAAUAAACGGGGUUCAGUUCUGCCUGUGCAGCUUGGCGGUCAGUGGAGUCCAGCGUCAGCCUGAGAAACCCAUCAGAGACUGAAACCGUCUCCAGCUCUCAUCACUGGGAACUUCAUCCGGUCUGCGUGAACAGGGAAAGGCUCGACCCACAGACGGCCAUGUUCCAAUCACUGAUGAUUGCAGUCGCAGCGAGACAUGGUUUCCACCGGCAACAAAAUCAAUGCAAAAACCACAAAGUUAUUCAAAUAUUAACAAAACCACAAAGUUAUUAAAAUAUUCAUGAGUCACAUCGGUCAGCCAUAACGGGCUGAAAGUUUUGUGAUGGUUCUGGUUGAGAUGCAUCUAAACUUCCUCAGACUUGGUGAACUGUUUGUGGACGUCGUGGCUCGGCUCUGACUGUGAUCUUCAUCGUUAAUAAUCGGAGUGUAAACCGUCCAGCCCUGCAGCAGCCAGCGCCCUUCCCAGUCGACGGCCUUUCCUUCCUGAAAACCUGCCAAAGACUUGCUAAACUUUUUUAUUGGAUGCUUCUUUGGAGUCGGGUUUGGGCUGCGCCGCCAGCGGCUGGCGGAUGAUUUAAAGAGGCGGAGCUUCCUUCUUAUUUUCUAAAUUUUGUCAUUUUGUUGUAAAUAAAAAGUAAAACCGAAUGUCCUGCGAAAAAUACAAAUGUACAAAUAUAUAAAUGGCCUUUUUCUCCCCCCCGGUCCCCCCUCCCCCACUGGUGCUGAAUUUUUAAUGACUGCGAAACAGCGCCACCUUGUGGUGACGCCUUUCAUCAGAAAAACCCCAAACUUUGUGUUGUCUUCAUCACCUCAUGACGUCCUUCCAUCCCCGAUGGAGGGAGGUGUGUCCUUGUGAGCGGAGGAGCCAGGGGCAUGCUGGGAAAUGCAGUAUCUCAAACGGCGGCACUGUGACGGAGGACGGGCGAAAACGUUUUGAAAACAAACGUUUCCUUUCUGCCAUGUAGUUUUGAAACCCAGGAGAUUACUCAUAUAUGAUGUAAAGUCUGAUGUUUGUUGUCGUUUUAUUUCCUGUUUGGUUCCUGCCUGAAUCACGAUGCAUUCUGGUCGCUGUCGUCCUGUGAGUUCUGGUUCUGUUGCUGGUUCUGGUUCAGUGGGUUCUUUCGCCAUGUUAACGUUGAUUUCUGUGUGAAUGAAUUUAGUUUUUUUGUGGCACUAAACGUAAAAGAAGAGAAAUAGUUACAGAAAAUAAAGCUAAGUGUAUUCAAGAAGGAAAUGUUUUUCUACAUCAAAAUGUCUCCAUAUUCUAUUCUUUCAAAGACAAAAAAAAAUCUGUUUUUUUUAUAUUUUCUUAUUGGAUGCUUAUAAAGUAAUGUUGUAAAGUUAAAGCAUUUAUCUGAUUGGCUCCAGAGAGGUCAGAGGUCACAGGCCUCCUUGUGUUAGCCUGCGCUGCAUGAGCAGGAGAAAUAAAUUAUAUUUCAGAGAGAAAGUGUUACAAUAUGAACCUGUGUUUGAUAAAAAGUCACUGCUAAUAAAAAGAUUUAAGUUCCACUCAAAAA